rnacentral:misc_RNA from 1 species
AUGAAUUACAAGCAUUGUCUUCAGUUUCUACUGAAUUUGAUAAAUGUAUGGAAUUUCUUAUGGGACUCGAUGAAACUUACAAUCAAGUGAGGAGUCAAAUUCUUUUGAUGGAUCCUUUACCUACAGUAAAUCAGCUGUACGGUAAAUUGGUUCAAGAAGAAUCACAGAGAAAAGUGUAUUCUAGUACACAAUCUGUCAAUUCAGCACCUGCAACCUUUGCGGUCAGUCCAUAGGUCACAAGAAGGAUACAUGUUUUAAAUUGGUGGGAUAUACAGUUCGUUUCAAGUUUAAUAAUGCUAAAAGAGGUACUGCUCCAGUCAAAGCAAAAGCAACAUAGAUUACUGCCUCCGAUACUUCUAGUGUUGAUGCUGACAGUGCAAGUAUUGGAACCACCCAUGCACCAUAGUUUACCCAAGCACAAAUCCAACGACUGAUGUCCUAUUUGCAGUCUCUCAAUGGUGGAGAGUCUUCAGGGUAUUCUCAGGAGGUUCACAUGGCAGGACCUGAACAAGGAGAGAAUUCUGGGGAUUGGUAAUCAGGAACAUGGCAUGUAUAGUCUAUGCACAUCAUUUUCUACCGUUCCUUUUGCUAUUAUCUCUGCUAUCUCUUUGUUUUCCAAUGUAAAUAGCUCAAAUAAAUCCGUUGCUAAGCCUUGUGUAGACCAUUUUCUCUUGUGGCGUGCUAGGCUAGGCCAUCUUUCAAAUCAAAAACUCAAAUUUUUGUUUCCCAAUUUCAUUGAUAAUUAAAGUGUGCGUGACAUUUGUGCUUAUGCCAGGCAAGCUUGAAUUCCUUUUCUUAAUAGUUCUACUUUUAGUUCUUAUAAAUUUGAUUUGAUUCAUCUAGAUAUUUGGGGUCCAUACAAAGCCUCUUGUAG